UCCGGGGUCAUCUAAUCGGUAGGAUAAUUGGCUCUGAACCAAUACAUCGGGGUUCGAGUCCCUGCCCCGGAA
rnacentral:tRNA from 1 species